rnacentral:rRNA from 1 species
UACGUAGGGUGCAAGCGUUAAUCGGAAUACUGGGCGUAAAGCGUGCGCAGGCGGUUUUGUAAGUCUGACGUGAAAUCCCCCGGGCUCAACCUGGGAACUGCAUCUGUGACUGCAUAGCUAGAGUACGGUAGAGGGGGAUGGAAUUCCGCGUGUAGCAGUGAAAUGCGUAGAUAUGCGGAGGAACACCGAUGGCGAAGGCAAUCCCCCUGGACCUGUACUGACGCUCAUGCACGAAAGCGUGGGGAGCAAACAGG